UUUCCGUAGGUGAACCUGCGGAAGGAUCAUUCAUAAUAAAGUGUUUUAUGGCACUUUUUAAAAAUCCAUAUCCACCUUGUGUGCAAUGUUAGAUCUCGUCAAUCUUGGCGAGGUUUUUAUACAUCAACUCAUUCUUUAACUAAUUUGUCUGAAAAAUAUUAUGAAUACUUAAUUCAAAAUGCAACUUUCAACAACGGAUCUCUUGGCUCUC
rnacentral:misc_RNA from 1 species